UACGUAGGGGGCAAGCGUUGUCCGGAAUUAUUGGGCGUAAAGAGCGUGUAGGCGGUCCGGUAAGUCAGCUGUGAAAGUCAAGGGCUCAACCCUUGAAAGCCGGUUGAUACUGUCGGGCUAGAGUCCGGAAGAGGCGAGUGGAAUUCCCGGUGUAGCGGUGAAAUGCGUAGAGAUCGGGAAGAACAUCGGUGGCGAAAGCGCUCUACUGGACCGCAACUGACACUCAGGGACGAAAGCUAGGGGAGCGAAUGGG
rnacentral:rRNA from 1 species